rnacentral:rRNA from 1 species
AAGGGAGAGGAUUACGUGGGAAUCUACCCUCAGACCAGGGAUAGCGGCGGGAAACUGCCGGUAAUACCUGAUAAUGUCUGCGGACCAAAGGUGUGAUUCCGUCUGGGGAUGAGCCCACGUCCUAUUAGCUUGUUGGUAGGGUAAUGGCCUACCAAGGCAAUGAUGGGUAGCGGGUGUGAGAGCACGACCCGCCUCACUGGGACUGAGAACUGCCCAGACACCUACGGGUGGCUGCAGUCGAGAAUCUUCGGCAAUGAGCGCAAGCUUGACCGAGCGACGCCGCGUGCGGGAUGAAGGCCUUCGGGUUGUAAACCGCUGUCGUAGGGGAGCAAGAGAUGAGGGUACUCCCUCAAAUUUGAGCGAUCCUAGGAGGAAGGAGAGGCUAAGCUCGUGCCAGCAGCCGCGGUAAGACGAGCUCUCCAAACGUUAUUCGGUAUUACUGGGCUUAAAGAGUUCGUAGGCUGCUCCGUAGGUGAGGUGUGAAAUCCCUCGGCUUAACCGAGGAAUUGCGCUUCAAACCGUGGAGCUAGAGGUAGACAGGGGUAAGCGGAACAGAUGGU